UACAAGUACCGUGAGGGAAAAGUUGCAAAGCACUUUGAAGAGAGAGUUAAAGAGGACGUGAAACCGGUAAGGUGGAAACGGAUAGAGUCGGCGUAUCAUUCAAUUAUUCAGUUACAUUAUUUUUAUGUUGUGACCUCUGAGCUCCAGAUUGGGACAGAGGGAAUCAGCAUAAUUUUUUGUGGUGCAUUUACUUGAUUGGUGCUUGGGGAUGUUUGAGGCAGAUUUGUUUCCGUCGUUUUGAGGCCAGCUUGCUGGUACCCAAACGGUGUUAGCAUUUUUUGUCUUGGGCAUUUGAGUAUGGCUCACGUGUAUUUAUUGGACAGAUCUGAGUGUAAGUUACGGUCGCAUGCGACACGUGCUUUUCAAUUAGUUCGGUCCAGUUAAUGCUCUCGUACUCGUUCCCCAUGUAAAAGCCGGUCAUCUAUCCGACCCGUCUUGAAACACGGACCAAGGAGUUUAUCGUGUGCGCAAGUUUUUGGGUGUUAAAAACUUAAAAGCGAAAUGAAAGUAAAUGACUCUUUAGAGUCUGAUGUGCGAUCUUGUAAAAAAGUGUAGCAUGGCCCCAUUCUAACUGUUUACAGUAGGGUGGCGGAAGAGCGUACGCGGUGAGACCCGAAAGAUGGUGAACUAUUCCUGAGCAGGACGAAGCCAGAGGAAACUCUGGUGGAAGUCCGAAGCGGUUCUGACGUGCAAAUCGAUCGUCUGACUGUGUAUAGGGCGAAC
rnacentral:rRNA from 1 species